GUCAUAGACGCGAAACCUAGUGAUCUAGGCCUGUCCAGGCUGAAGCUGAGGUAAGACUCAGUGGAGGGCCGAACUCACCGCCGUUGAAAAGUUGGGAGAUGAGAUAGGUCUAGGGGUGAAAAGCCAAUCGAACUAGGAGAUAGCUCGUUCUCUCCGAAAUGCAUUUAGGUGCAGCCUUGAACUGAGAUAUGUGGGGGUAGAGCUCUGUAUGAUCUAGGGGGCGUACUGCUUACCGAAAUCAAGCAAACUGCGAAUACCAUAUAUUAUGUUCAGGAGUGAGUCCGUGGAUGACAAGGUCCUCGGACGAGAGGGGAACAGCCCAGACCGCCAGCUAAGGUCCCUAAUUAUGUCUAAGUGGGAAAGGAGGUGGAUAUUCACAGACAACCAGGAGGUUGGCUUAGAAGCAGCCAUGCCUUGAAAGAGUGCGUAAUAGCUCACUGGUCGAGAGUGCCCGCGCCGAAGAUGUAACGGGGCUAAGACAUAAACCGAAGCUGCGGAAGAUACACUGUAUCUUGGUAGGAGAGCGUUCUGUAGGCCGUCGAAGGGAUGCCGCAAGGCCGUCCUGGAGGUAUCAGAAGCGAGAAUGCAGGAAUGAGUAGCGAGAAGGCGGGCGAGAAUCCCGCCGGCCGGAAGUCCAAGGUUUCCAGGGGAAGGCUUGUCCGCCCUGGGGAAGUCGGGACCUAAGCAUAAGCAAAAUUGUGAUGGCGAAUGGAAAACAGGUUAAUAUUCCUGUACCGCUGUUAUCGCUUGAGAGACGGAGUGACGCAGGAAGGUAUGCGAGAAGGCUGACGGUUUAGCCUUUCUAAGGGCCCAGCGUGGGCGUGCAGGUAAAUCCGCACGCCUAAACGUGAGACCUGACGGGGAAGUGCUUUUGCAUAAGUCGCAGAUCCUACACUGCCAAGAAAAACUUCUAUCGAUGAGAAGCAGCGCCCGUACUGUAAACCGACACAGGUGGACAGAGUGAGAAACUUAAGGCCGACAGGAUAACUCUAGCUAAGGAACUCUGCAAAAUAGCCCCGUAACUUCGGGAGAAGGGGUGCCUGACAUACCUGAAGGAGAGAAGCGCUCCCAGGGGAAACAGGCCGCAGUGAAGAGUCUCAAGCAACUGUUUACCAAAAACACAGGUCUAUGCUAAGCUGAAAGGCGACGUAUAUGGGCUGACACCUGCCCAGUGCCGGAAGGUUAAGAGGAGGAGUGAGAGCUCCGAUUUGAAGCCCCGGUGAACGGCGGCCGUAACUAUAACGGUCCUAAGGUAGCGAAAUUCCUUGUCGGGUAAGUUCCGACCUGCACGAAUGGUGAAAUGAUUUGAGAGCUGUCUUGGCUGGAGACCUGGUGAAGUUGUAAUGCCGGUGAAGAUACCGGCUACCUGCAGUAGGACGGAAAGACCCCGUGGAGCUUUACUGUAGCUUGGCAUUGGGUUCUGGCAAUGUGUGUAUAGGAUAGUUGGGAGACUGUGAUGUGAUGGCGUCAGCCAUUGCUGAGUCGCUGUUGGAAUACCAACCAUAUGCUGUCGGAAUUCUAAUCUGGCAACGGAGACAGUGCUAGGUGGGCAGUUUGACUGGGGCGGUCGCCUCCCAAAGAGUAACGGAGGCGUUCAAAGGUUCCCUCAGGCUGGAUGGAAAUCAGCCUAAGAGUGCAAACGCAUAAGGGAGCUUGACUGCAAGACUGACGGGUCGAGCAGGUACGAAAGUAGGAGUUAGUGAUCCGGCGGUUCCGCAUGGAAGGACCGUCGCUCAACGGAUAAAAGCUACCCCGGGGAUAACAGGCUGAUACUUCCCAAGAGUCCAUAUCGACGGAAGUGUUUGGCACCUCGAUGUCGGCUCGUCUCAUCCUGGGGCUGGAGAAGGUCCCAAGGGUUGGGCUGUUCGCCCAUUAAAGAGGCACGCGAGCUGGGUUCAGAACGUCGUGAGACAGUUCGGUCCCUAUCCACUGCAGGCGCCUGAAUAUUGAAAAGAUCUGACCUUAGUACGAGAGGACCGGGUUGGACAGACCUCUGAUGUAUCAGUUGUCACGCCAGUGGCAUGGCUGAGUAGUCACGUCUGGUACGGAUAACCGCUGAAAGCAUCUAAGCGGGAAGCCGGCUUUGAGAUGAAUAUUCGUAGUAUCCAUAGAGAACAUAUGGUCGAUAGGCUAGGGGUGCAAGUGCAGCAAUGCAUUUAGCUGACUAGUACUAAUAUUACGUCUGCUUUUAAGAU
rnacentral:rRNA from 1 species